ensembl:snRNA U6 U6 spliceosomal RNA
GUGCUCGUUUUGGCAGCACAUAUACUAAAAAUUGGAACGAUACAGAGAAGAUUAGCAUGGCCCCUGUGCAUGGAUGACACGCAAAUUCGUGAAGUGUUCCAUAUUUUG